UUGACGGGACCGCACAAGCAGCGGAGCGUUGUGGUUUAAUUCGUUGCUACACGAAGAACCUUACCUGGGUUUGACAUAUAGGUUGUAGGGAACUGAAAAGGACGACCUUCGGGAGCCUAUACAGGUGUUGCAUGGCUGUCGUCAGCUCGUGUCGUGAGAUGUUCGGUUAAGUCCGCUAACGAGCGCAACCCUCGUCGUAUGUUAUAUGUGUCAUACGAGACUGCCGGUAAAAAGCCGGAGGAAGGUGAGGAUGAUGUCAAGUCAGCAUGGCCUUUAUGUCCUGGGCUACACACACGCUACAAUGGCCAACACAAUAGGUUGCUAAGCCGCGAGGUGGAGCCAAUCCUCAAAGUUGGUCUCAGUUCAGAUUGCAGGCUGCAACCCGCCUGCAUGAAGAUGGAGUUGCUAGUAACCGCAGGUCAGCUAUACUGCGGUGAAUACGUUCCCGGGGCUU
rnacentral:rRNA from 1 species